UGAGAUCUAGGACAAAAGAAGCAAAAAUACAGACAAUAAAAUACUAUAGCAUAAACUAAUAUUCUAAAAAAGGGAAGUAUCAACAUAUGGUCUAGAUAAGACCAGGUCUCUUCAUCUUUUUCAUUGUGCAACAGCUUCAAGGUUCUUCAAAGGCCAUCAUGUCAUCCCCUAUUACCUUCAUCUCCAUGAGCUUGAGCGAUAUCCAUCUAGAAAUUUAACCUCUCAGAAAUGUCAUGGAAUCUAUCUCUGUGAAGACUUCUUCAGUUGAACGAUUGUAAGAGCAACAAGAUUGAAAAAAUGGCCACGAACCAGUGUGGGAGAGAAUCGAUAGAUAGUGACCAUUUCACCCUUAUUAUCUUUCCUCGUAUACAAAAAGAGUUCCAUAAGAACUAAUACCAUUGCAUACAAAUUCAUAAAUAGAUGCUUUCAUUGCGCCUUGAACUGUUUGUGUGCCUAGCAAAGUCAAAGCAUUAAGGGCAGCCUGGAGUACUACACUUGUUGAAUGCCUUGAAUUGGACCCGUUACAAACAGAACCGACGGUGCAGACACUAUUAUACAAAUUAUAAUCAUUUUUCACAAUUACCAGUUCAAGGUCUAGCCAUUCCACAAUUGGAAAAAAGGAAAAUCCCCAAUUUAAGAACCAAGCUACUACAAAACACGAACUUCACUAGGCAUACAAACAGUUCAAGGCGCAAUGAAUCCAACUGAUAUAAAAUACAACAAAAGAUUCUUAAGCAUAAGCAAAGAUACAAGUACACUAAAGCAGCAACAAACAACAAUUUAUCAAUCAACCGUAGUGGACAAGUGAGCUAAUCUACCGCACAUUUCUAUAUAAAGUAAGGAGAAGGAGUUCGAUAGAAAGUUAGUUAAUAACAGACCUACUUCUGAAUUUUAAUACAGUGGUAUUAGUUCUUAUAGAACUCAUUAUGUAUACGAGGGAAGAUCAUGAGGGUGAAUUGUUCACUAUCUGUCUAUUCUCUCCUCCACUUGUUCCUAGCCAUUUUCUCGAUCUUAUUCUCUUACAAUCAUUGAGCUGAAGAAGUUUUCAUUUAGAUAGAUUCCAUGAAAUUUGUGAGAGGUUAAAUAUCUAAAUGGAAAUCGCUCAAGCGCAAGGAGAUGAAGGCAAUAGGAGAUGACAUGAUGACCAUUCAAGGACCUUGAAGCUACUGCACAAUGAAGAUGAAGAGACCUGGUCUUAUCUAGACAAGAUGUGGAUAGUUUCUUUUUUUAUAAUAUUAGUUUAUGAUUUAUGUUUUUUAAUCUGUAUUUUUGCUCAUUUAUUCUAGGUCUCGUUUGGACCUGGAUACGAUUUCGU